GUGACGCGCUGUGGAAAAAUCGUUUAGGGAAGGGAGAGAGGCACUCGGGACGGGGGGGAUAGUAAUCGGUGAUAAGCAAUAGAGUUAUUAUUCGGGACUGCGAAUAGUGGGAAUCGGUGUGAUGAGUCAGAAUUGGGGUGAUAGACCAGGUUCUUAAAAAGCCGUCGCCUGAUCCACAGUGGUCUCCAGUGAACCUGUUUAUACAUAUGGAGAAGUCCAAUGCAUCAUGGGAAGUCCAACGCAUGACAGGAAGCUCCCCUCCUUUGUACCUGGACCUGGAUUGGCAAGUGAGGAGCCAGAGCACAGAGACAAACAGGGCAGAUCAGGUUCCUGGCAGAGUCGUUCCUAGUUUGGCAUUUUUUUUUUCAAAUUACGUCACACUUCAGCAGACGGAUGACCCAGGAAAUGGAGCAGAUGUCUAAGGCAGCUUCAGAGUUCAAAGGUCAAAACACCUGUUUGAAGUCCUGUGCAUUGCAGUAUGUCUUCUGGGAAACUCUCACGAUCUUUAUCUUCCAUUCAGAAAUCGGAAAGUGCAAACAUCUUUCUUACUUUUGUAACUCGUAUAUGAAUUGGAUCAUUAGAAAAUGUGGUGGAUUUCAAACUGGUCCUGAGGUAUCUGCAAUUUUUACCCGUUUUUGUUAAAACCAGUUUCUGUUGUGAAGUUUUGAUCAGUGUCCUGUACUGCAAUGGAUAGGUUCCAGGCUGCAUGUAACCUGGCACUGGGUAAAUUGGGUGGAAAAUGGGACUACGCCCAUGUGAAAUUUUGUUUGCACUGAAGGUGUAGCCCCUCUGUGGUUCGGGUUCGAGUCCCACUACCACGGCUUUAUCUUCACUUUUAUUAGUUAGUCCAGUACAGAAAAUUGUGGUUUAGAAGAGUUUGUGUCCAAUGUGAGCUGGACUGACAUUCCUGCGAUGGUGGCCCGCACCUAAGGCCACGUUUUUUCAGAUUAGACUUGUACAUGACAUUGUGUCUUUUAAAAUGGAACCUGUUACUUUGGCUUGUUUUGCUUGUCGUCCUUGAACAAUAGUAAAAAAAAAUCUCUUCAUCUAAGAUGAUUAAAUACCAAUGCGUACCUUCAUCUUCCAACCAGUUAUCCAGUAUAUUGCCACAGGAAUCAAUUAAUCUGCUUAGUGAAAUAAUUUAUGGUCGUAAUUUGCAUUGCAUAGUUAAUGGUAUAAACAUGUCUCAAGAAUUUCAAGAUAAAAUCAUGGUGAGAAUUUAAUCAGCAGAAGUAAUUAGCAGAAUUUAAUCAAGAGCAUGAUAAUAAUUAAAAUUGAUUAAUCAAUUAAUUAAGAGUUCAAUGUAGAAAAUAAUAAUAGCAUAUAGAUAUAGCAUGUAGAUAUGUGACAGUUACUAGCAUGCACUGCAAAUAAUCACAGUAAUGUUUAUAAGGACUGAUAAGUAUUGAUUAUUUACAGUUAGGAUAUUUGUAAAAUCAUGUGGGUUUUUAUAUGACAAUUUAAACAAUAUUUUGUCAUCUCGGAAUAUGGCAAAAAUGUAAUGAAAACAUGCUUACAGCAAAUGAUGCAUUUUUGUUGUUGUAGUUGCUGCUGUUGUUGUUGUUGCCGCUGCUGCUGUUUGUGCGAGUGUUUUCAGUGUACGAGUCUCAGCCAGUUUCGGGCAGCUUGUACAGGAACCCUACUGAGGAGAAGACAUACACCUGCAAAGAUAGUAAGCUAACAGACCAGCCACGCUAACAGUCUGCUUCUGGAAGCUGGUUUCAGAUGGUGGCUUAGAGUGUCUAUAAUAUGAAUCUAGCACCAUUUGAAAUCAGUGUUCUUGGGGUGGAAAUGACACCUUUGCCUGCUCAGGGAGAAUGCGUAAUUAAAGGCCAGCGCUUGUAUUUACAUUUGUGUCCAGGUUCCACUUUUUAGUAAAACCCAUUUAGCGUAAAAUCCCACAGCAUAGCUUUUGUUUGUGGGAUGGAAACGACGGGAUUUUUAAAAUGAACCAAUUCGCAAAAAGAACCUCAGAUGUUAUGCGUUUGUUUUAUUUUAUACUUAGAAUUUUAGAAAGUAUACUUUUUACUUGUGUUGCGGUGAUACAGGAAGUAGCCUGGUAAGUCACACGUCAGCAGAAGGGCGGCCCGUGCGAUCUCUCAUCAGGGCUGACUGAUUUCUUCUGGUGUUCAGAGUCAUUGUAGCUUUCUAGCACCAUUUGAAAUCGGUUACAAUGUAGGAGGGAAAUCGGCACGGAGAACGUGGAAAGACAGCGGAGGAGGGAAGACUGGAGGCGAAGGGAGAUCCCCAGUCCAGCCCGCCUCUGCACGAGGGUCUGUGGUCCAAGAUGAUUCAAUCGAUAACCGUCAAUGCAUGCAAAGCUUGUGAAAAUGUUUUUCUUCAGUAGGUUUUGGUCUGUAACGCACUUUUUUUUUUUUGUGGCUCUGGGUGCAAUGAACAAAGGAUGCAGUCAUCGAAGGUCAGUUCUAAAACCAAAAAUAAGUCAAAACUAAACAGAAGCCUGACUGGUUCCGCAGCAGGUCACGGAGCAUGUGCUCGGCCUGCUACAGCCUGCCCCCUGGUGCUGGGAACCUGUUCCGUUCCCCCCAAGGACUCUGCGGACGCGACCCCGUCGUCUGGCUAUUGCGAGCCACGGCUUCUUACGAUCGUGGAAUUUUCCGCGAGGCCUAAAUUGUGCUUUUUUUGGUCUUUGAUUUAAAACGCGCUGAGGCGUGAUGCUUCCUGUGGCGACUGACUCGGGCGGAUAGGAUGUUGCACGGACUCCGUCCUCGAUUACAGGAAGUGGCAAUCUGGUCAUCUGCGGUUGGUAUCCCGAGGUAAGAGUAGUCAAAGUUAAAGGUGAGGUGUCAUACUAAAAGGUAAAGCAGUGGUAGGUAAAUAUGUCUGGCAAAAAAAAAACUUUUUGACCAGUGUCUGUUUUUCUACCCCAAAAAAGACCUGCAGACGCUGUGUGUCUGCGCGUAUUGUGGGCUCAGCUUUCUCGCCAUGUCCUGUCACUGUUCCGGAACCCAGGCGAGACUUCGCUAGACGCGCAGGUUUCAUUUGGGGAAAACAGCAGAAUGUUCCGACCUUCUGAACUCGCCUUACGUCAUCACUUGGCACGGAUUCUGCUGGCCGUAAAUCCCGGAGCAGUGGCGGCAUGAAAGACAGGUUCCUCUCGUCUGUGUUCUUAAAGCACGAAAGCUGCUUCAUCUCUGUUUAUAACAGAGACUCCAGUUUAGAGGUAUCUUCACACAGCUUCAGUUCUAAAUAUCUUCAUUGCAGUAAUUAUUUGGAACGUCAGUUGCCUCACCUGGACUUACAGGCACUAAUUAAAACAAAUUGCAAAACCAGUGGGACUCCAGUCCUCCGGAGUCAGAUUGGCACCCCAGCUGUGAACAGACAGGCACCCUGUGCAUAUUCAGCACAUGCCAGCCCUGGUUUGCUUCCGGCCACUCCGAGGAACAUCACGGAUAAACAGAGAACUCCUGCACUCUAUUCGUCGGGACAAAGAGGAAUUUAGAUCCAGAAGGAAUCGCGAGCUAGGAAACGAGGAAUGCCGUAUCAUGUAUUUACUUGCAGGCUUUGUAAAGAGAGGCACCGGUGUGAUCCAGUUGAAAAUGCAGUCUUUGGCACAGGAGAGCCAAUACACGAUACAGAGACAUCAACGGGUGUGCUGCGUAUCUAACUGUUUGAAAUAAAUAUUUUAUAUAAUGUAAUAUUGUUUUUGUACCACUAGGUGGCACUUCACUGCUGUAAUGUAGUAAUACAAUUUGAAGGCAAGAGUGUCUGAAAUAUCUCUUUCGUGUUAAACGCUAAUAUAAUCAGGGUUACAUUGACCCAAAGCCUGCCCUGCAAAGCUGUGACAUGGUACAAACCCAAAAAUAUUAAGUUACCUAAAAUAUUUACUACAACCCUUCAGUGCCUUGGCUUUUGCAGUACGGCAGUGAUAUAAUAUAGAAUGCAGUUAAUUGAGGGAUUCAUUUCACGUGAGCAUAAUAUAAAGCAUUUUGAAGGCAUAAGUGAAACAUAAGGGGCUGUUAUGAAUUAAGGUGCGCGCACAUGAUGGCACCGUGCUACGUAAAUACCGAAGCGUGUAGCAAGUAUUGCAGCUCAGCCAGCAGAGGGCAGCAGAGGGAAGCUUUGUUAUUCCAUGAUGGUGAACAGUGACGGCGGUUUUGGCUAGUUCAGACAUUUUUGUUCAUUAUAGUUAAUUUCUGACUAGAAAUAUAAUUCAGUACAGGUUCAUUGCUUACCGCUAAAUACUGUUGCUAUUAUCGCUAUCAGAUGAAAGUGUGGGGUUUGUUUUGGGUGAAGUUUGUCUUCUGAAAGGAUGUUUCAGGGUGUUUGAUAGUUUUCUUCUAGUUCAGUCAAAUGUAAUAGUUUCCCCUGUUAGCUGUCUGACUUAUUGUGGCAAGUUUUCUCUGAGCUAAGUCAACUUGUGGCUAAUGAUUGAUUGGUUGUGUAAUACUGGCUUUCCCAGGGGUGACUCACAGAAGGAGGACCCUGUAGUCACAGCGAUGGUACAGAUACACACGGUUCUGCUGUUAUGUGACUUUACACAACAUGAAUUGGCUCAUCUAUGAUUGAUAAAUACGGGAAACUUAUGAGUUAAAAACACAAAUAUGUUGGCUUGUGUGUAAUUUCUUCACCAGUUUAUGGUUUGAAUGGAACAGUAACAGACCUGAACAAUUUUGCCCGUGAAGGAUUUUCACUAAUUUAUUUCACUAAUUAUCAGUGAAAUUUCAGACAUAAAAAACAGGAAGCUUGAAGGCACUUGUUAAAAAGCUUGAUCUUAUAAAGAACUUUGAGGAGAUUAGGUAAUACUUUGGUUAGAUAUUUGGUAAUUUUAUUGCAGGAUUUUGAGUAACAAAAAGUUGUACAGGAAUGUAUCUACUGCAUUAUUGCAGAAACAUGUUUGCUAUGUGGGUGUUGGUUUGAGUCCCCAGGAUUUUGGCUGAUCCACGGCACGUUUGCCAGUAAACCCCAUUUCCAAUGAGCCACUGAGGGUACCCUAAUAGAUAGCUUGUUGCUCACUUCCUUAUCAGUAUGGAGUGGAUUCUGCCUACUGAGCAAUGAGGUCAGUUAAUAAGGCACGGAAAAAAUGAAACAGUAUGUUUUUCAGUGGAACCAUAGAACUCAACCACUUACUGAUCAUGGGGAAGCAUUAUGUAAGCAUUACGUAAUCGUCUUUUCUGUACUGGGAAGUGGGUGCGGUCCUGUGUUGCCAUGGCAAGAAAUGACAUUCAUUGGCCUUGGCUCCUCAGUGGGUGGGCAUUGGGAGAGACCUGGAGGGACGGAAGGGGAAAGAUCCAGAGGAAUGUACUGGCAUUGGAAGCAGUGUGGGAUUUUGUUUGAGGGGCUGUACAUAUAUAAUCAUUAUAUUUGUCUUCUGCUCUCAUAGGGCUUCUCCCAUUUAAUGUCACAUUCUUUGUUUAAUAAAACCUUUCUGGUUGUUUAAUCUCCACUGUCUAGCUCCUUUGUCCUGCCCUGAGAAUGCCCUCCUGCCAAGGACCUGCUGUGUUUGGAUAAAUAUACAGAUUUUCAGGGCAUUGCUAAUGAGUGACAUGUAGAGACUGGAAGGCUGACACUGGGAUAUCACAAAGUGUUUGUUUACGUUAAGGCACAACAGACACAGGUCAGUGAUCUCCUCAAACAUAAAUAAAAGCACAGGUGGUUAAAUUAAAACCUGAUAGUGCUACAUUGAUUUUUGUUAAGUAAAUUAAGAGUCUCAGGUCUCAUCUAGCUCUUAGGAACAGAACAAUUCUGACGUUAUCGCUUUAAUCAGUUUACUGCAAAGUCAUUUCCCAAACUCUGUCAUCCGUUGUAUGGUGAAAUGCUGACAGACAAAGCUACUCUCCCCAAUACUGUCUCAGUCUUCGGGAAGCAUCUGCUCAGCCCCACGCCGCCUGUUUCCCGUGCAGAGCAUCCCGUUACGGUAAGGCUGGACGAGGGCAGCCCUUGUUCAGCGGACCUUUGUCAGCAGGCAGAGCCAAGCACUAUGCACAACAGUCUGGCUCUUCUUGCACGGGAAGUUGCUUACUUGUUAACGAAUCGACUGUUCUGCUGGCACACUGCAGACCAUGAGAAGAAUGAACCCCUUCACAUUGGUCACCAGAAUACAGAGACCUUACAAAGAAUUCAUGGACCUUCCCAAAGGAUUACGGUAAAAUACCAUACUCUACAUAUUCAUUCACGUAGUGAGAUGUUUGUGUUCUGAAAACUCAUGUGAAUUACAGGAGAGUAAACUUAAGAAGCAAAUUAAAUUUAGCUGGAUCCGCAGGGCCUUCAUUAACAAUGGCAGUAAUAUGCCACUGCUUUUAGUUUCAGAUUUUCCUUUUCUUCUACAUCACACAUCUACACAAUGAAAUGUGUUUUGAUUUCAAAAUGGAUUAAAAAUGCAAACAAGCGAUUUACCUCUUUCUCCUUAUCUACAUUUUACUUUAACUUCCUAAAAUUAAGGAUUCUUUCAUAAGUUUAUCGUGCCGGCUGAAGGUACUCAGGUCUAUGCACGGAAAGUGUUGAUACUGACCUCUGUGGAUGGUACCCGCUCUGCAUGCCUCAUGACAAGGUCAGACCUUUAAGGAAGACGGAGCCACAGGAUUUCUGAAAGGGCCGGGUUUGUGCUUUGAAACUAGCCCGGUCUCACAUUCUCAACACAAUAACGCAACUCCCACAGAAGCGGGGAGCGCCGUCAAACGGACAACAGACAUCGAGAGCAUCUUACUCCACCAUCAUGGGACAAGGAGGUCUGCAGAGAGGAGAUAAUGGGCAACAAGCGGGCCGACACCCCCAAACUGGGGCAUCAGUGGGGACUUCUGCAAAUGCAUCACAGCAGAUGAAAAACGGGAAUACAAAAAACAUACUAAUUACCAAGCAUCUGUGUUCCGUACCCACAGCCCAUCAGCAAAUGAAACUAGAGAUCAAUGGAGUCAGACACCAACGUUAAUCACUUGAAAGAUGCAAACGGAAACCAGUAACCUUAAUGGCAGAUCAGCUAACUGUAUUUCCCAGUUUGUAGGACUAGCCUCGCACUUCCUGGAAUGCGUGUUUGAGUCUCACCCCUAGGUGUUCCUCCAGGUCCAAGAACACACAGCAUGCUGAAUUGGGUGUCUCUAAAUUAAUCAUAGUUAGCGUAUGUGACCUCUGUCCUCUGCUUACUGAGGCUCCCAAAGCGUAAGAAUUUCACGUAGUAGUUUAGCAGGUAGCACUACAAAUAUUCCAUGACGUGGGCACUGCUGGGCCGGGGCCUAUCUAACUAUUUGGCCUUUGGAAAGAGAGUGUCGACAUGCUUUCAACGUAAGUUUCAGGAAGGAAGCAAAACCAGAAUCCAAAAGAAAACCAAACAAAGGUGCCACCCUCAUGUCGUCACCAGUUCAGCUGUUUUAUGAGUUUUAUGCUUUCUCUGAGCGACAUAGAGAAUUGAGGGGAGAACCCAUUUCUGACUAUAGAAUCGUCAAGGUGAAACCCUUAUCAGCAAUGAAAAAUGAAACAAUUAUGCAUUACAUGAACAUUUUCACAUUUUCAUACAUCAGCUAAUGUCUAUCAACUAAUCUAUCCUGAAUGACAAAAUUAAAACGGUAAGAAAGGGUGUUGACAUCUCACUGACAUGAAGUCGAGUGACAAAUACAUUUGCCCACCACGCCUUAUUAUUAGGCCGCUUGACUGAGACAGUUCCGCUUUCUCACACCCAAACCCAUUAUCGUUUUUUUCUGGCUCCUAUAUUCAGAUGAAGCCGGUAUUUCCUCCUUGUGAGCUGGAUCCAUCCACCAUCGCGCCUGGUACGAGUAUUACCAUGACACCCAGGAAUUCCAUCACUCCAGACUCCACCAAGCACCAGCGUGCCUUCAGUCUUAUCUGUACACUGCAGCUUGAUCAUCAGAAACGCUCGCGGCGUAUGCACUCAAAAAUACUUUUUGCUGAUGCUCUACGUAAAGUGUACAUACGCACUCGCAGAGACACUUUACUUCUGGAUUAGAUCACCAGCUAAACCAAUGAAAUUAUAGGGACAUUAAGAAUAAAAAAAAAAAAAUCAACCCACAAUGGGUGCAGAGCAGUGUGAAUAUUAAAUGCCUGCCUCUCUCACUCAUAGAGCUAAACUUAUUGGAAAUGACAUCAUACCACAGUCUACUCCAAUUCGACACAUGGACUGGAAACUGUAAGUUCAUGACCAAGGAAAACAUGAGUGCUCCCCCCACAACUCAAAAAUACUUGGUGAACAGAUAAAUAACCUCUUCUAAGGAACUUGGAAAAUAUCCCUCGGAAUAUUCUGAGGACGUUGAUUUAUUUGUAUGUUAGCACUGGUUUUGAACUUUAGCUAUAUCUGUCUGUCGAUUUAAAUCUAUUGUGAAUAUGUACAGAACAUAGUGAAUGAGGCAGAGGUGUCACAGGCCCCUCUGGAAGGGAUCUCAUCUUUGAGGCGGAACCUGAUCUAAAUCGCUUUGCCUUGGACCUGGGACUCAGGGCGCAUAGUACAAAGGAUGAUGGAGCCAAACUACCAAAUCUGCUUAGUGUACUGAUCUAGAUACUCGACUCCAUAGAAGGAUCCAGGAAUGAGGCGUAAAUGAAAUGUGCUUGGAUGGCGUGAAAGUUACAGUAAGGAGGCACUACGUAGUCACAGUGUCGUUAACUCACUUAAAGAGGCUCAUGGGGUUACAGUAAUGAGGCACUACGUAGAGUCACAGUGUCGUUCACUCACUUAAAGAGGCUCAUGGGGUUACAGUAAUGAGGCACUACGUAGAGUCACAGUGUCGUUCACUCACUUAAAGAGGCUCAUGGGGACUCGGUGGGUAGCAACAAAGUCGGUGGUUUGAAUCCUCCCCCCGUGCAUUUUUACAAGGUCUCUGCAUAUUUGUGUAUAUAGCUUUUUACUAUAUAUCCAAUCAGGGCGCUCUGCUGUUAUGUCUCCUGUUCUCCAGGAUAAGCACUCCAUGACAUUGUAGCAGGUAAGGAGUUUUUUGGCAGAUGGAGUCACUUCAGUGUCGAGGUUUCUGUAAUGUGUUGACAUUAUCACCAACGAGGUUUGUUGGGGAAAAAACUCAGUUUUUCAUUACAGCAAACAAAUACACGGGACACAGGGAUUACUGGAGGAGGGAAUGGCAACGUUUAUCUUGCCAUGGUGUGAAUGAACAGGUAAGCAGAGUAAUAUUCAAAGCACAUCUGUGCUCUUUCAAACAGGCAGAACCACGAAACCAGUGAAACCAGGCCGCUGCACCCACCCACACAACCUCACCGUACAUCACCUUCAGCUAAAGGCGUGUAGGCAACGUCGGCUUGGGCAGCUUCUAAUUUUUCAAGCCAGCACACCAUACAGACUUAGACCACUGUAUAUGAUAUUUUGACAGUAUUUUCAAAAGCAAACGCCAUUCUGAUAUUUUGGAAGAGGAACCUGUUCAUUGAAUUUUGCGGAUUACAAUCUGCCACACUGGGGGUGGGGGACACUGUUGCCUGGCAACAACCCUGGUCAAAUAUCCAUGUCCACACUGAAGUUUCACAAUUUCCCAAAAGUGGAAGAGUUUUAGAAGAUUAACUAUAUAACUAUGGUGACCUUACCAGCAAUUAUAGCAGUCGACUGAUUACUUUACUUUACAACUAUAUCCACGUCGCUUCCAUU